CUUCCCAGAGGAAUGCCUACCUGCAUGAACGGGAUUGGCAGCUAUAUUUGAGCAGGAAUUGUGGACGGUGCAAAUUUAUUACAAAGGCUUCUUGGGGCAAGGGCCUGCCCUCUUGUAUUCUGCAAAGCACCAUGAAGACUGAUGGUGCUAACUCACUCACUCACUCUUCAUUGAAAAAUGAAACUUUGGUGCUCUCCUGUUGGGAUCCUUUUGUUCCUAAUGUGAUUCUGUGACUACAUACACAUGGGAAUAUUUCAGCACAAUUGGAUUCAACUGAAGGCACGUGAGGCUACCACCUUGCAGAAGCUAAGCAGGCCUGGAUCUGGUUGGGAGGGAUAUAACUGUAA